rnacentral:rRNA from 1 species
GAGCUUGCUCUCUGGGUGGCGAGUGGCGGACGGGAGAGGAAUACAUCGGAAUCUACCUUUUCGUGGGGGAUAACGUAGGGAAACUUACGCUAAUACCGCAUACCACCUUCGGGUGAAAGCAGGGGACCUUCGGGCCUUGCGCGGAUAGAUGAGCCGAUGUCGGAUUAGCUAGUUGGCGGGGUAAAGGCCCACCGGGGGGACGAUCCGUAGCUGGUCUGAUAGGAUGAUCAGCCACACUGGAACUGAUACACUUUCCACACUCCUACGGGACGCACCCGUGGGGAACUUUGGACCCUGGCCGUAACCCUGUUUGCAACUAUACCACAUGGGUGCACUAGGCCUGC